AACGAACGCUGGCGGCAUGCCUAACACAUGCAAGUCGAACGAGAUCUUCGGGUCUAGUGGCGCACGGGUGCGUAACGCGUGGGAAUCUGCCCUUUGGUUCGGAAUAACAGUUGGAAACGACUGCUAAUACCGGAUGAUGACGAAAGUCCAAAGAUUUAUCGCCAGAGGAUGAGCCCGCGUAGGAUUAGCUAGUUGGUGUGGUAAAGGCGCACCAAGGCGACGAUCCUUAGCUGGUCUGAGAGGAUGAUCAGCCACACUGGGACUGAGACACGGCCCAGACUCCUAAGGGAGGCAGCAGUGGGGAAUAUUGAACAAUGGGCGAAAGCCUGAUCCAGCAAUGCCGCGUGAGUGAUGAAGGCCUUAGGGUUGUAAAGCUCUUUUACCCGGGAUGAUAAUGACAGUACCGGGAGAAUAAGCUCCGGCUAACUCCGUGCCAGCCGCCGCAGUAA
rnacentral:rRNA from 1 species